UCAGCACCACCACACCACUGUAAGCACCACCACCACCACCACCCCCACCACCACCAUGAUCAGCACCACCACACCACUGUAAGCACCACCACCCCCACCCCCACCACCACCAUGAUCAGCACCACCACACCACUGUAAGCACCACCACCACCACCACCCCCACCACCACCAUGAUCAGCACCACCACACCACUGUAGGCACCACCACCACCACCCCCAUCACGUCCACUCUCCACCACCUACACAUUCACUAUUUGUAGACUUUGCACCACCACCACCACCACCACCACUACCACCACCACCACCUUUACCCCCUUCCCCCACCGGCUUCCCGUAAAAGGUGUUUUGCUGUCAUCACCACAAACACGCGCAAAAAAUUCCAACCCACAUAAAAUACUUUCUUUUUUCUUUCUCUUUUAUCCCUCUCUCCCUGUUUUUUUCUCCCUCCCACCCCUCCCCUUGUACCAUGUCCCUAUUCUAAACUAUUAAUUCCCUUCUAUUUCCCUCACCAUUUAUUUGUCCCUUCCUCUAUCCACCCCUUUCCUUAGUCCCUCAUUUUUCCUCUCCCUACUUUACAUCAUUCUAUUAAGUAUCUCCCUCUUCCCGUCCUUUAUCAAUGCUUCUCUAAUUCCUUACGACUCCUUCACUCACCUUUUUCCAUUUCCCUUUAAUAUCCUCCUUCCUUACAUUCUCAUUUCCUUGACCAAUUUCCGUCUCUCCUGGUUAUCCUUCCCUCUACUCCUCCGCCUCCUCUAUUUCCCCUUUCCCUCGUCCUACUUUCCUCUUUCGUCUGCUUUUUUUUUCUGUCCGUACUUUUCUCUACCGUCCGCUUUCGCUUUCUUUUUCCUCUCCCUACUUUCCUCUUCCGUCUCCUUUAUUUUUAUUUUUCCUGUCCCUAUUUUCGUCCCCAAGAUUAAACAUCUAAAAAUUUCUCAAAUAUUCCACGGACUUCAAAAAAGUUUCCACACAAACUUUCAAAUGACUCGUUCACCUCAAAUGAGAGAGGAGAGGAAAAGAGGAGGAGGGGAGAGGAGAAGAGAUGAAAGGAGAGGAAAGGAGAGGAAAGGAUGAGAAAAUAGUGUAGACAGAAAAAAACUCAAAAAAAUGUUGGAAUGUAAAUGUAAAGUGCGUGUGUGUGUGUGUGUGUGUGUGUGUGUGUGUGUGUGUGUGUUCACGGGCGUGUAAAACAAACUAGCACGUGUCCGAAAUGGAAUUUAUUAACCUUACAAAAACGAAAACACACACACACACACACACACACACACACACACACACACACACACCGAGUAAGCAAAAACAAACUCACAAACAAACUAAACAAACAAAAGGAGAGUCAACAAGCCGUGGGGCGAGAGAGUAAAGAAAGAGGAAUGAGAAGACGGCGGAAAAGGGAAAGGGGGAGAGGAAACCGAAUGAAGAAGGACAGAGAAAGACGGAGAAGAGAACAAUAAUAACGAGGUGGGGAGACGAAAUAAAAAAAAGGAAUCAGAGGAAAAAAAGUGAGGAAGAGGUAGAGUGUGACAAAAAAGGAGAGAAAAGUGAAAAUUAGAUGCAGAAAACGAGAAUGAAGGAGGAAAAAACAAGAAAGAAGAACAGAAAGAGGAUAACUAAAAAAUAACAAAAUAACAAUUAAGAAAAAAAUAAAAAGAGAAUUGCACGGAAAGUCAAGAAGAGAGAGAAAGAAAAGAGGAUCUGAUAAGUCUCAACGCAACGAGUGAUUUGCCUCGAGGGGAGAAAGAAAGAAAAAGGAGAUAAUGAGCGAGAAGGAGAUGUAGAAACAGGGCAAAGGAGAAGUAAGAAAAUUAGAUGAUAAAAAAAAGAAAAGAAAAAAGAAGUAAGGGUUAUGAAGUAAAGUGAACUGAAGGAAAUGGAUUAUAUUACAGCAAGAAGAUAAGAGAGGGGCAUUUGGUAUAAAAAAUGGAAAAUAAAAAAAUAAAGACGAGGUAGAGAAAAGGUGAAAACAAAUUAGGAGAGAAAAGAAAUGUGAGAAGGAAGUAAAGUCAUAAGAAAACGGUGAAGGAGUAAGUUAGGAAGAGAGAGGAAGGAGGGAUUCUUAUGGAAAAGGAAAAAAAAGACGAGAUAGAGAAAAAAAAGGAGACAACGAAAGUAGGAGAUAGAAGUGAGAAGGAAGUGGUCAUGUGAAAACGCAAGUGAAGGAGAAUGUACGGAAGAGAAAAAUAGAUUAAAAAAGAAGAGUUGGGAGGAAAGAAAUGAAAAAAGUAGAGGAUAAGGGAAGAGUUAGAAGGAAGUAGACUCAUAAGAAAACGCAAGUCAAAGAGAAUGUACGGGAGAGAAAAAUAGAUUAAAAAAGAAGAGUUGGGAGGAAAGAAAUGAAAAAAGUAGAUAAGGGAAGAGUUAGAAGGAAGUAGACUCAUAAGAAAACGCAAGUGAAGGAGAAUGUACGGAAGAUAAAAAUAAAUAAAAAAAGAAGAGCUAGGAGGAAAUAAAUUAAAAAAAAGUAGAGGCUAAGGGAAGAGUUAGAAGGAAGAAGACUCAUAAGAAAACGAAGGUGAAGGAGAAUGUACGGAAGAUUUCUCGGUUCGUCUCCUCGCAACGCCUAAUUCGCCUCAAGUAUUGGGGAGGCGAAAAUAAUGACAACGUUUAACCAAGCUCAGGUGUGUCUCAGGGCAAUUAAGAGGGAGUGCAAGUUAAUGACACCUGGACCUCACCUGAACUCCGUCUGACUCACCUACGAAACUGCAGCCGACCUCCACUUCCUCCUUCCUUCAUUCCUUUCCCUUUCCUUCAUUUAUUCUGCCUUUCUUCCCUAAUAUGGAUCUCGCUCUCACCCCACCUGACGCACCUAAGAAAAUAUCCACCCUCACUCCUUCCUUGCUUCACUCCCUUCUCAUUCAUAUAUUCUUUCUAUCUUUCUUCAGUCCUUCCUACUUUCUAUUUAAUGACCUUUUCUUUCCAUUAUUCUUGAUUCUUUCCAUUUCAGACCUCAGUUACCUAAAUUUUCCUUGCAUCCCACCUACCUGCCCCACCUAAAAUUUGCUCACCUUCACGGCUUCCCCUUUUCAUUAAUUUAUUUCUACUUUCUCCAGUCAUUCCAUCUUCCCUUAAUAUAUUGCCUUUCGUUCCCUCCCAUUCUUCUUUUUUUUUUUGCGUUCGUUUAUUCCUUGUUCCAUCUUUCGUCUUUCAAUCUUUCCUUCAUUUCAUUUUCCUUUCAAUCAGUUUCUUUGUUUCUGUUUCAAUUUCCUUCUUCACCUUUCACUCCUUUCUUCACUAUUAUUUCCUUCCUUCUUUCUUCCCUCAAAAAUGCCGUCUAUCGCCCAUUUACUGACUUUCAUUGAUUAUCUCUCCAUGUUUAUCCUUUUCUUUCCAUAUAUUGUCUACUUCUCUUCCUUCCUUCCUUCACAUCUAUUCUUUCACUUCUUUUUCUACAUCCUUCCGUCCUUCCUUCCUUUCUGCCUUUCGCCCUCCUUUCAAUCCUUCAUUCCCUCAUUCGCUUCCUCUCCUUCCUCCUCCCUGAAUUUCUUCCUCUCCUUCUAUUCUUAAGAAGGAGGGAGAAGGAAGAAGACAUGAAAACAGAAUGGAGGGAAGGAGGGAGAGAGACGUGUACUGGAGGGAAAAAACUCGGGUGUAAAAUAUUGAGCAGAAAUGUCUGGCGGAGGGAGGGAGGGAGAGAAAGAGAGAGGGAGAGAAAGAGAGAGCGAGAGCGAGAGAGAGAGAGAGAGAGAGAGAGAGAGAGAGAGAGAGAGAGAGAGAGAGAGAGAGAGAGAGAGAGAGAGAGAGAGAGAGAGAGAGAGAGAGAGAGAGAGAGAGAGGAAGCAAUCGAAAAUCAUCCAGCACGCCAAGUAAACACACACACACACACACACACACACACACACACACACACACACACACACACACACACACACACACACACACACACACACACACACACACACACACACACACACACACACACACACACACACACACACA